GACGAACGCUGGCGGCGUGCUUAACACAUGCAAGUCGAACGGAAAGGCCCUGCUUUUGUGGGGUGCUCGAGUGGCGAACGGGUGAGUAACACGUGAGUAACCUGCCCUUGACUUUGGGAUAACUUCAGGAAACUGGGGCUAAUACCGGAUAGGAGCUCCUGCUGCAUGGUGGGGGUUGGAAAGUUUCGGCGGUUGGGGAUGGACUCGCGGCUUAUCAGCUUGUUGGUGGGGUAGUGGCUUACCAAGGCUUUGACGGGUAGCCGGCCUGAGAGGGUGACCGGCCACAUUGGGACUGAGAUACGGCCCAGACUGCUACGCGAGGCAGCAGUGGGGAAUAUUGCACAAUGGGCGGAAGCCUGAUGCAGCAACGCCGCGUGCGGGAUGACGGCCUUCGGGGUGUAAACCGCUUUCGCCUGUGACGAAGCGUGAGUGACGGUAAUGGGUAAAGAAGCACCGGCUAACUACGUG
rnacentral:rRNA from 1 species